rnacentral:lncRNA from 1 species
UGUUACAGGACGCCCUUUCUUCGUAGCACAAGGAGCUGAGUUUAACAGUAAUGGCAUUGCUACAAAAGGAAUAAAUGCAAUUAGCAAACAUCAGAUUUGGUUUAUAAUGCAGAAAAAUGAAUGAUUAGAAGAAGAAGAUACAUGUAGAAAAUUUACCAGAAAUAGCAGUCAUUCUUACUAAAGCACUAACAACCCACAAGUUAGGUAUGACAGAUCAAGGCUUUUUCUUCCAGAAGUUCACUUUUUAUCGCGAUUUUUUUAGUCCCAUUAAGCGUGCUACACGACAUAUUACUAUGUCAACGUACUGAAGACAUC